CCUACGGGGGGCAGCAGUGGGGAAUAUUGGACAAUGGGCGAAAGCCUGAUCCAGCCAUGCCGCGUGUGUGAAGAAGGCCUUCGGGUUGUAAAGCACUUUCAGUGGGGAAGAAAGCCUUGGGGCUAAUACCCUCGAGGAAGGACAUCACCCACAGAAGAAGCACCGGCUAACUCCGUGCCAGCAGCCGCGGUAAUACAGAGGGUGCGAGCGUUAAUCGGAAUUACUGGGCGUAAAGCGCGCGUAGGCGGUCUGAUAAGCCGGUUGUGAAAGCCCCGGGCUCAACCUGGGAACGGCAUCCGGAACUGUCAGGCUAGAGUGCAGGAGAGGAAGGUAGAAUUCCCGGUGUAGCGGUGAAAUGCGUAGAGAUCGGGAGGAAUACCAGUGGCGAAGGCGGCCUUCUGGACUGACACUGACGCUGAGGUGCGAAAGCGUGGGUAGCAAACAGGAUUAGAUACCCUGGUAGUC
rnacentral:rRNA from 1 species